rnacentral:rRNA from 1 species
UACGUAGGGUGCAAGCGUUGUCCGGAAUUAUUGGGCGUAAAGAGCUCGUAGGCGGUUUGUCGCGUCUGCUGUGAAAACUCGGGGCUAACUCCGGGCCUGCAGUGGGUACGGGCAGACUAGAGUGCGGUAGGGGAGACUGGAAUUCCUGGUGUAGCGGUGAAAUGCGCAGGAUAUCAGGAGGAACACCGGUGGCGAAGGCGGGUCUCUGGGCCGUAACUGACGCUGAGGAGCGAAAGCGUGGGGAGCGAACAGGG